GUUGACCUCGGAUCAGGUAGGAAUACCCGCUGAACUUAAGCAUAUCAAUAAGCGGAGGAAAAGAAACCAACAGGGAUGCCCCAGUAACGGCGAGUGAAGCGGCAACAGCUCAAAUUUGAAAUCUGGCCCCCGGGUCCGAGUUGUAAUUUGUAGAGGAUGCUUUUGGCGAGGUGCCUUCCGAGUUCCCUGGAACGGGACGCCAUAGAGGGUGAGAGCCCCGUCUGGUCGGACACCGAGCCUCUGUAAAGCUCCUUCGACGAGUCGAGUAGUUUGGGAAUGCUGCUCAAAAUGGGAGGUAUAUGUCUUCUAAAGCUAAAUAUUGGCCAGAGACCGAUAGCGCACAAGUAGAGUGAUCGAAAGAUGAAAAGCACUUUGAAAAGAGGGUUAAAAAGUACGUGAAAUUGUUGAAAGGGAAGCGCCUAUGACCAGACUUGGGCCCGGUGAAUCACCCAGCGUUCUCGCCGGUGCACUUCGCCGGGCACAGGCCAGCAUCAGUUUGGCGCGGGGGAGAAAGGCUUCGGGAAUGUGGCUCCCCCGGGAGUGUUAUAGCCCGUUGCGCAAUACCCUGCGCUGGACUGAGGUACGCGCAUUCGCAAGGAUGCUGGCGUAAUGGUCAUCAGCGACCCGUCUUGAAACACGGACCAAGGAGUCGUCUUCGUAUGCGAGUGUUCGGGUGUCAAACCCCUACGCGUAAUGAAAGUGAACGCAGGUGAGAGCUUCGGCGCAUCAUCGACCGAUCCUGAUGUUCUCGGAUGGAUUUGAGUAAGAGCAUACGGGGCCGGACCCGAAAGAAGGUGAACUAUGCCUGUAUAGGGUGAAGCCAGAGGAAACUCUGGUGGAGGCUCGCAGCGGUUCUGACGUGCGAAUCGAUCGUCAAAUAUGGGCAUGGGGGCGAAAGACUAAUCGAACCUUCUAGUAGCUGGUUUCCGCCGAAGUUUCCCUCAGGAUAGCAGUGUUGAACUCAGUUUUAUGAGGUAAAGCGAA
rnacentral:rRNA from 1 species